UGAAAUGUGAAAGUUCUGGCUGGUAUGGCGCGACGAACUGUCUUGUAUUCGUCGCACAAUGCUGUCCUUGGCAGGCUUUGUGCGACCAAACACCUUUAUUCGUCGCGCAAACCCUGUACCCUAAACCCUAAACCCUAAACCCUAAACUGCAGAAACCCUAAACCCGAAACUGGUUUUCAUGAUCCAACCGGCAAACUUGUUUUUUUACACUUCGAGAUCGUAUAUGCCAAAAAUCGAAAAAAACAAACAUUAAGAGAUCGAGUAACAGGACGAAACUUGUCGACGGUUGUAAAUGAAAAGUCCUGAUUUAACGGUUAUUUUAGCUCUGAUUUGUAUAAUUUUG
rnacentral:lncRNA from 1 species